rnacentral:rRNA from 1 species
UUACUACUCGCUCCCCCAACUUUUGUGCUGGCGAAGAGGAAAUAAUACAGAUAUCUGUACGUGCACGGGUAGAAGGGGGGACUAUAGCAAGAUAAACUGUAAAUGUCCGGUGGGAGACACACACUGAAGGCCAGCGCUUCGNUCGCGGUGUGGUGGGUCCGAGAGAUCGCCGUAGCACUAUUUUGCUCGUUGGAGAUUUUCUGCUUUGUUUCAUGCUUAUUUGGCCAGAUUCGGGUGUUUGUUCUUGUCCCACCUGCCCGUUUCUAAUCACUCACAAAACGAUCACUUCCGUAGAGGUGACUGCGGAAGGAUCAUUACUGUGAUUUACUACUACCCUGCGUGAGCGGAACGAAAACAACAACACCUAAAAUGUGGAAUAUAGCAUAUAGUUGACAAGAGAAAUUUACGAAAAAACAAACAAAACUUUCAACAACGGAUCUCUUGGUUCUCGCAUCGAUGAAGAGCGCAGCGAAAUGCGAUACCUAGUGUGAAUUGCAGCCAUCGUGAAUCAUCGAGUUCUUGAACGCACAUUGCGCCCCUCGGCAUUCCGGGGGGCAUGCCUGUUUGAGCGUCGUUUCCAUCUUGCGCGUGCGCAGAGUUGGGGGAGCGGAGCGGACGACGUGUAAAGAGCGUCGGAGCUGCGACUCGCCUGAAAGGGAGCGAAGCUGGCCGAGCGAACUAGACUUUUUUUCAGGGACGCUUGGCGGCCGAGAGCGAGUGUUGCGAGACAACAAAAAGCUCGACCUCAAAUCAGUAGAA